rnacentral:tRNA from 1 species
AUCAAAAUAGCUUAAGUUAAAGUAUGAUAUUGAAGAUAUUAUGAUAGAUUUUUAUCUUUUUGAUA